CCAGACUCCUACGGGAGGCAGCAGUGAGGAAUAUUGGUCAAUGGGCGCGAGCCUGAACCAGCCAAGUAGCGUGAAGGAUGACUGCCCUAUGGGUUGUAAACUUCUUUUAUAUGGGAAUAAAAUGUUCCACGUGUGGGAUUUUGUAUGUACCAUAUGAAUAAGGAUCGGCUAACUCCGUGCCAGCAGCCGCGGUAAUACGGAGGAUCCGAGCGUUAUCCGGAUUUAUUGGGUUUAAAGGGAGCGUAGGUGGAUUGUUAAGUCAGUUGUGAAAGUUUGCGGCUCAACCGUAAAAUUGCAGUUGAUACUGGCAGUCUUGAGUACAGUUGAGGUAGGCGGAAUUCGUGGUGUAGCGGUGAAAUGCUUAGAUAUCACGAAGAACCCCGAUUGCGAAGGCAGCUUACUAAACUGUGACUGACAUUGAUGCUCGAAAGUGUGGGUAUCAAACAGGAUUAGAUACCCUUGUAAC
rnacentral:rRNA from 1 species